CCAAACAACUCGCGACAUAGAUAUCGAUAACUAUCGACGUCUCACAACUCACAACAACACAACUACGAUCUGUAAUACGCAAACAAACAGAAAAAGCUAAACAAAUGCAUUAAUUUUAAAUAAACGACGAAAACUUUAAGUUCUGGUGGCCGCGGAUGUAGUGACCAUGCGCACCCACCCACCCACUAAUUCUAACCUCAUUCAUAUUUUCUUGUCAAUCCGUCAUCAGGCAGCAAUCACCCUAGAUCGUCGUAUGCUUUUGGAACGGUCAAAGCGACAAGUCUAGGGAGCCUUCGAGAUAUACAAAACACCGCGGAAACUUGCUCCGCAAUUGGCGGUGAUUUUGAAAACGGAACUACAACGCACGUAUUUACAAGGGUCAUCAAAGGAAGUUGCCCCGAGAGACUACGAAUCCAAUGAACGUGGUUCUCCCUGCGCUCAGUUAUGCUCCUAUGCUUAGGACGGACUCAACGGCGGUAUCGGUAUAGCUUCGAGGAGGAUGGUGGAUCGAUAUUCUGACUCCGGAAUGCCUGGUGGACGGGUUAGUUCCCCCAAUACGGCUCAAUUCCUAAGCGAUUUUCCCGGGGAACCUUUAUGUUGGAGCCCCGGUUAUUCUAGGCAUAAAUGCAGAAAUAAAUAACUUUACACGACACUAAUUUAAGUUGCCCAGCUGCAACUGGAUAGCUCGUCGGAAUUGCUUGCAUUUUAUCAUGCUCCCCGCCAUGUUCUUUGGGUCAUUGGACAUAAUCCAGGCCGAAGCGAACCGACCGGAGCGAACCGGGAUUAUUCAAACGGCCAGAUCGCCCAACAGGAUUUCCAAAGGGGAAACCAUCGCCCUAUCGGGAUACUUAUUGAUAAGGCCGUAUUAUCAUCGACUCCAACUGCAACACCAACCAAAAAUUUCGAGAAGCGCUACACAGAGUUUUAGCAGAACGAUUAAAUAAUUGGUAGCUUGGAGGGCGGUAGGACUCAUCGCGGUACUGAUGUAGUCAAGCAGUUCAAACCGCGCCUUACGCGGGGCCCACGCUCACGAACUUCCUCCGGAAGACUUCCUGACCUGGCUUGGCAUACAGUAGCGCUGACGACUCAUCUCAUAGGCGCCUUCGUGGUGUUUCUGGACUUGGGAGUGAAUGAUCCGAAGUUUAUCCUUCGCCUGCAUCCCUGCCUUUUUAUGUCAGCUGUCUGGCUAGCUUGUAAAUGGCUCCAUUCAAAAACAUAUGAUGGCCGAAUACAGUGAAGAACGGAGCAUCUCCUGCGGAGUGGACAGUAUUCCGUAUGGCCACCUCGAUCUCCGGCAGAUGCGCAUUACACUCUCUGUGAUCCAAGAAGCUCCGGAUUGCCGACUUACCUUCUCCGCCGCGUUGUUUUGGGGUGAGUAUAUCGGCGUCUUGAUGUGUUGUAUUCCGAACCUAUCGACCAUCUCUUCAAACAUCGUCGCUUUGGUCUCCUUGCACAUCUCACAUCCUCAAACGAACUCCCUCACCUGGAUGGUCAUCCCUGGCCAAGUGGCAUCGCGGGAUCUCCAGACUCUUUGCCAUUCCACCAUGUGGUCUAAGUGAGAACGUUCUACCAAGCUGUGGGUGAAGUUUUGCGGAAUCCACAGUUUCCAUUCCGCUUCUUCCAGCUCAUCACUCAGGUUUGGAUUUCCGCUGCGCUUGAAUAUUAGCCCGUUGUCGACUUUGAGGUCCGUCUUCGGCAGCAAAUUCGGUCGUUUCGAAUUCCAAUAACUUUGUUGGAUCUGUCAGGACUUGUUCGCCGCAUCGUAUCAGGGUAUCGGCGACUCGCUCUCGCUUCCCUUGCGAUGUUUGCUGCUAAAAUAGUACCCUUGUAGCUGAAGCGACCAUCUGGCGAGUCAUCCCGGCAGACCAUUCAUUGUCAUCAGCCACUUCAGGUUAGCGUGAUCGGUGAUGCACGUGAACGGCAUCCCACGUACGGCCGAAGCUUCCCAAAGGCUAGAAUGGCUGCCAGGCACUCUUUCUCCGUAAAAUUGUAGUUGACUUGGUGUUUAUUCAUCAUGGCCGAGAAAAACGCGAUCGGCUGCUUCUCGCCGUCAUGGUUCCGCUGAAACAAUUCCGACGUGAGAUGCGUCACGCUGGAUGACUAAAUGCUUCUUGAAAUCCGCAUGAACCAGAACCGGUGCGCUCGUCAGGGCCAACUUCAGAUCGUCUACUCGUGCUGCGCUGGAACUCUAGGCAAAAAUUUGUGAUUUUGCUAUUCUUCAAAGCCGUCUGCUGUCUGUUGUUUAGUCAUUUAGUCACUUUUAUUUGAUUCGAUGAACAAAUAUGUUUUCAGAGGUUUUUAAUUUACUUGGUUGCUGAAAAAGUAUGAAGUUUUAGGAUUAUCAAACUUUACAAGUUCGGAAGUCGAUUUGUCUUUUGAAACAGAUGCGUAAAAUUUACAAUCUUGAUUGCGGCUUAAAGUUUAAGAAGCUAAGCAGCUGUCAUUUCUUAGUUUUCGUACAAUUCCCAAAUCACAUAAACUCACGAAGCCAUCAGGUUCUUUUUAAAUUGGUAUGGAAUAGAUGUGGAAUACCAAAGAAUACAAAAUAUUGGACACCCCUAAACUUAAGCUCCUAAUUCAUAAUGUGGAGUCGCAGAGUAGUUUAUAGGGAACAUGGGACGGCAGAGCACCAGAAGAAAAAUUUGCCGACCUGCGACAAAGACCAACUUCAUUAAAUUUAUUUUGACUAUACAUUUUUCAUUAAUAGAAACUUGCUUUUAAAAAAGGUCUAAAAUUUUUUCUUUUUGUUUUAUAUUUUCGUAUAUCUUUUUGU